ensembl:snoRNA
GUGCAUAAUUGCACGGACCUGCUUUCCAGUGUUCUUUUGUGAGCAGUGUUAUUUCUUGUGUGCUACAUAAAAGUUGAAGACUAAUUAGCAGUAUAACUAAUAGUAAUGCCGCCAGUCUCCUUCAGACAGCU